GCCAUGUCGCUUCCGAAGACCACCGGUGUCGAAUACUGGACUCAGCGCUGGGCGAACCACAUCAUUCCUUUCCACAGACCUUCAGUUCAUCCGUAUCUUAAAGAAAUUGAAGAUGAAUUCACCGCCGCCAACAAGAAACUCCGUGUAUUCAUUCCCAUGUGCGGGAAAAUGCGUGAAAUUAAAUGGUUCUAUGAGAGGGGCCACACUGUCGUGGGUGUAGAAAUUACGCGGCAAGCCAUCAAUGACUUUUUCCAAGAAAACGAGUUCACGGCCACUGAAGUUUAUUGCCCAACUACAAAGUGUCCAAUC